rnacentral:lncRNA from 1 species
GGGGGAGUGAGAAGCCUGUGGGCCAUGGAGCUCUGGGAAGCUUCCAGAACAUCAGGCUUGAGCCGCCCUGGCCACAUUCAUGUGUUCCACUGCCACGUGUGCCAGUGACUACUGUCGGGAUGUGCCAGGUCUAGGACAUUCCCACCGCUGCGGAAAACUGCGCUGCUUCUCCUGUGGCUGCUUCUGCCACGUGGCCUUGAAGGAAACCCACGCUCCAGGGAGGCUGGGCAUUGCCUGCCCCUGGACCCCAGUCGGAGUCCCCCCUGGUGGCUGCCUGGGCCUCAGCCACGGCCCCUGAGCAGCUUCCAGCAUCCCGAAGGCUCUGCCCCAGGUCCGAGGCCAUUCCACGGUCGCUCCCUGCUUCCUCUCCUCCUCCGCUCCCCUUGCUUGUGUCCUUGGCAAUGCCCUGCCCCAGUUUCUGCCCCAGAGCCGCUGGCCAGAAAUGGCUGAGGUUCGUAGCUGGAGGAAGUGGGCCUGGGCUGACGAGGUGGCACCACUUUGUCCUGGAACAUCCCGCCCCUUGGCCUGGGUUCCGCUUGGGAAACAGGCGAGGUUCGAAAGGUGAGUUUUUAGAAUUGUCCAAUGGCAAGCUGUGACAGUUGUGUGUACCCUGGAGCUCAUCCCACCGUGGAAAACUCUGGGAAUGUCUGUCUCCACAGUCCUCGGCAAGCGGCCCCAAUAGUGGCAUUGUUUCAAGCUUUUGGAAUAUUGUUUUUGGGAAAUAAAGUGACUCCUGCUCAUUUAGCUGUGCCAACUCACUUGUUUGUCUUAUUCUUUUUGCUCAGCAGGUGGCAUUUUUGUUCAGUGAUUUUAUUUGUAUCCGCCCGUGUUCAUCAACUAUGACAUAUUAAUCAUGCAAAUUAGGAUAUGAUUAAUGAAGGAAAAAUUAAUUCCGCCACUGCAUCUGGGUCUGCUGUGACAGCUUAGUGAAUGCCCUCAUUCUCUGAUGCCAUCAGCAACUUCUCCAGGGCCGCUGCCGAUUGAUAUAUUAAUGUUUAGGGUAAAGGUUAGGGACCGAAGCCCAGAGAGACUUUCCUCUCCAGGGCUGGUGUUACAAGCACAUAUUUGCCUGACAGUGCACAUUUUUGAGACAGCGUGUUGCUAAACCCCGUCCUCCUUCCCACUGUGUGAACAGUUUGUAGGAGGAGGGAGUUCGCUCUGUCUUUCGGUGUCUUCUAGACUGAAGCCCACUGUGUCCAGGGCAAGCUCCCCGACCAACUCUGACUCUUGCUGUUUCCAAGGUCCCAGCUUCUUGUUUUCCAGAUGCUAUUUGCAGACCACGCAGUGACCCAUUCGUCCUUGGUAAGUGCUCCUUCUCCUCAGGACUCUGCUCUGGAAACAUGAGCUAGGGCUGCAAUAAGUUUAUCUUCAUGAUACAGAGUCCUGCAGAUAAUUUAAAUGAGUGCCCCACAUCAUUUUCUCCCAUUGCCCUCUGGUUAACCCUGAUUUCCACCCCGCACCCGGAGCUGAGCCGUGAUCUGCUUAUUCCUAUCUGCUUUCACUCAUGUGCUCCGGUAAGUCAGGUCCACAAACAGAAUGUUUUCUUGGAACUUGGAUAACCUUGCCCUGUGCACCAUGGGAACACCCCCUGGGAGAGAUUGUGCCAUUCCGGAGACUCCCUAGGUCACACUACCUCUGUCAGAGGACUUGGCUGGACCUGAGAGAGCGAGUGGGCAGUGGAGGUAGGAUACAAGGUGCUCCAUCAGGGAGGGGACCAGGAGGACAUGUGGUCACCAGAGACCAUGGAAUCGCAGCCUGUGUUCACGUUGGGUCGACUGUGGAUCCAAGCCUGUCCAGGGAUUGCAAUUUACCUCUGCCCCACCCUGAGGCCAUGGAACGGAGAGGCACAAGACCGGCAGCUGAGAGUUUGCUAAGCCACCUGCCUUCUGGAGUCUCUUCACCUUUCUUUUGUUUGUUUUGUUUUUGUUUUUUUUGAGAUGGAGUCUCACUCUGUCACGUGGGCUGGAGUGCAGUGUCAUGAUCUCGGCUCACCUCAGCCUCCACCUCCCAGGUUCUAGCGAUUCUCUGCCUCAGCCUCCUGAGUAGCUGGGACUACAGGCCUGUGCCACCAUGCCCAGCUAAUUUUUGUAUUUUUAGUAGGUUUCACCAUGUUGGUCAGGCUGGUCUUGAACGCCUGACCUCAAGUGAUCUACCUGCCUCGGCCUCCAAAAAUGCUGGGAUUACAGGUGUGAGCCACCAAGCCCAGCUUCUUCACCCUCCUUUUGAUAUUUUUGUGACUUCUGUUGCUGAGAUGCUCUGAGCCUGGGUCCCCACCUUUUGACUUCCCUCUUGUAUAGAUUCAUCCUAAUUCUUUCUUUCCCACUAGCAUCCCACCCCUUCCCUCCCAUGCCUAUUUAUCCUGUGCCAUCUGCCUUCCAGUGCCCCAGGGCAGGUGGUGGAGAGAGAUGGAUUGCAAACAAGAGACCUAACCCCAGUCCAGGAGAGGGAGAGGAUGCUGGGAGCUUGUCAUGGGAGCCACAAAGCACCACAGACCAGCAGGUUAAACAACAGGAUGGACAGCCCCACAGUUCUGGAGGCUGGAAGUCCGAGACCAGGUCAAGAUCCUCAGUGUUGACUCCUUUGGAGGCAGUGAGGGGGAAUUGGCCCCAGGCCUCUCUCCCUGGUGGGCUGCUGACCAUCUUUGGCCCCUUGGCUUAGCGAUGGCCUUUUUCCUGUGUCUUGUUCUUGGUCUUCCCUCCAUAUGCACCCUUUUCUCUCCACAGGGUAUUCUUUUCAUAAGGAGCAGUCAGAUUAGGGGAUGCAUUCCUCCAGGAUGACCCUUCUUAGCUAAUUACACCUGCAUGGCCCUAUUUCCAAGUAAAGUCACCUUCUGAGGUGCUGGAGGCCAGGGCUUCAUCAUAGGAAUGUGGAGAGGAGGAGACACCAUUCAGCCCCAAACAGGGCAAAGGUCGAACAAGGGGAGAGCAGCUGGUGACAGGAGCCCUUGGGCUCUGACAGCUCCCAUUCCGCCCACCUGUAAGGGGCUCCUUCCAUUGUGGGGUUGCGACUCUUAUGGCAGCCCUUCCUCCUGCUGGAGAAAACUGUACUGAUGGGUCUGCGGGGUCUCUGACUCAGGACACCUCCAUGCUGCACUUCUUUAUUGUUUGUUUGUUUGUUUGUUUGAGAUGGAGUCUCGCUGUGUCACCCAGCCUGGAGUGCAGUGGCAGGAUCUCGGCUCACUGCAACCUCCACCUCCUGGGCUUAAGUGAUCCUCCUGCCUCAGCCUCCCAAGUAGCUGGGAUUACAGGCACCCACCAACAUGCCCGAAUAAUUUUUGUAUUUUUAGUAAAAACAGGGUUUCACCAUGUUGGCCAGGCUGGUCUUGAACUCGUGACCUCAGGUGAUCUGCCCACCGUGGCCUCCCAAAGUGCUGGGAUUACAGGUGUGAGCCACCGCACCUGGCCACCUCUCUGCUGUACUUCUAAGGAGCUGGAAGGCUGGGUAAGGGUGGCCCCAGCCGCUACCCCCUCCCUGGAGGGUUUUGAGACCCUGAAAGACACAGGCCGUGGCUGUGCAAUGGAAAGAAACCAUGUCACAGUCAUCUUACCUUCGUUACCUGAGAAAAGCCUACAUCAGCGACUGUUCUCUCUUGGGUGCAAAUAGAAGAAAUACAACCUAAUUCAUGUUGGUAGCAGGGGAAAUUUAUUGGAAAAUUGAUGCAACUCCAGGGAAGGCAGGGACACAGCUGCCUCCAGGAACAGCAGGGCCUCCCUUCCCCUCCCUGUCCUUGCUGUCCCAGAGGUGGCUGGGGGAAUCUUUAAGGAAUCUUGAAUCUUGAGGUUGAGUUCCUUCCAUGUUCUUUAGGAUAGAGACUGGAACAGCGCCCAAUUAUCCCCUGGGUGUUAGAACAACAGCCCAACACUACUGCACCCGUCCUGAGUGGAGGGAACCUCUCCUGGGUUUCCUCACAUUCUCCUCAGCACCCGGGCGACACUGAACCACGGGGCUCCCAGGGCCCUUUACUCACUGUCUUUCAGGUUACUGCCAGGACAUUUCAGCUGCUGUGGACGUGGAAGGAAAACGUGUCACUGGGGAAUGAGAGGUGACCCGGCCACUUCUGGCUGAGUGAAUUAGGGCAAGAUGCAUCCCCUUCGACCCCUGGAGAGUCAAGCUUGAAGGUCUUGCAGGGUUUGUGGGUGGGUUAAAACCAUGUAACACCUGGUAUGGGCUGAAUCGCAUCUCCUCAAAUCUGUCUGUGGAAAUCCUAAUCCCCAGGACCUCAGAAUGUAUUUGGAGAUGGGGUCUUCCAAGAGGCGACUGAGUUAAGUUGGGGUCAUAUGCGUGGACCUUAGUGCAAUAUGCAAAGGGCAGGUUAGACACAGACACACGCAGUGGGAAGACCUGUGAGGAUGCAGGGAGAGGAUGCCAUCUACCAGCUGAAGAAGGAGGGGAUGGGGUUUGACUGUGUCACCACCCAAAUCUCACCUUGAAUUGUAAUAAUCUCCAUGCGUCAAGGUUGGGGCCAGGUGGAGAUGACUGAAUCAUGGGGCUGCUUCACCCAUGCUGUUCUCAUGGUAGUGAAUCAGUCUCUCGAGAUCUGAUGGUUUUAUAAAGGGGAGUUCCCCCGGCACAAGCUCUCUUGCCUACCACCAUGGAAGACGUGUCUUUGCCCCUCGUUCACCUUCUGCCAUGAUUGUGAGGCCUUCCCAGACAUGUGGAACGGUGAGUCCAUUAAACCUCUUUCUUUUAUAAAUUACCCAGUCUCAAGAAUGUCUUUAUUAGCAGCAUGAAAACCGACUGAUGAAUACAGGAGGCCUCAGAGGGCAGCAACCCUGCUAGACUUGGUCUUGAACUUCCAGCCUCCAGAACAUGAGAGAAUGAACUUCUUGUGUGAGUCCCCAGUCUGUGGGACGUUGUUAUGGAGGCUGAGCUGAUGUGUGCGACCCCUGAAGCCCUAUCCUCACCCUGUGAAGCACACGGCAGGCUCGGGAGAUGUCCAUAGUGGGCCAGCCAUCCUCACGGAGCACCGGCACCUUGGGCAUGGACACUGUGUCCCUGCUAUAUCAGGUCUGCGAGAGACCCAGAGCAGCUGGGCUCAGUGUCUCCAGCCUCGUUGCUCACCACCUCUUCCAACCCUGGGCUCUGGUCAGAUUUGUCGUCCUGGCCUAGUUUCAAUCAUGUCCCCUCAGAGAAGCUGCCCCAUGCACAGGGUCUCCAGAGCCAGGUGAGAUGCCCUCAGGGACGCACAUUCUCCCUAUGCCCACAGUUCUGAGGCCUCACUGUGUGUUUCUUUUCUUUUCUGGUCUGUCUUCCCACUAUGCGAGAAGCUGCCUGAAGGCAGGAACCUUCCCGACUGUCCUGCCUGUAGGGUCCCCCACAAAGAGGGCCCCUGGCAGGUAAGAGGGUCUGGGACGUGCUUAUGGAUGGACACAGAGCCCAGGCAGCACCGGGUGUCCAGCCCUGAGCUGAGGACAUCUGGGGCCCUGGACUGCCAGUCACUUUUCUGGGUCUUUGAUCCCUUCAUCGGGAAACACGGAGUUCUUGGGGAGCUCUGUGAGGCCCCAUGGGACAGAGACAUUGAUGUCAUAAGGCAGCACAUGCUGCUGAGCUGUGAGGGUGAGCAGGUGAAUAGCACCCGGGCCAGCCUGCGGGACAGCCCCAGCAUGGGGCAGUCCCAACGUGGCCCUGAGGACAGGGGACCACUGAGGAGAUGGAGAGGAAGGGCCCCUGUCCGGGAGCCUCACCCCAGAUUGGAGCUGGGCCUGGGAAGGUGUCCUGAGCCCCUCAGCCCCUCGCUGGGUGGCUCAGGAACUCACUGCUCAUCUCUGGUUUCUGAGCAGUUUACAGAGAAUUGCUAAUGGGUUUAUGAAUCAUGGGAAACAGAGAAUGCUUUUUUAUUUUUCUGCUACUGACCUCUCAAAAGAAAUUUCCAGAUGCCUCAUAUAAGUCAAUUCCAUAUAAUCGAG